AUCAAGAGGAGGAAUUCUAGCUUCCCAGGUUGAAAUUUGUCUGAUCUUGUGGCUUUGUAACCCUACUUUUGGCAACAGAUAUCAAAGACAUUCAGUGGACGGCACAGUCCAAUUUUCACUUGGGCCCUGUGCUAUCCAGCUAUGUGACUACCUAACUCCCUGGGUG
rnacentral:lncRNA from 1 species